GAGGAAGGGGAAAAAACGCCCGAAGAUGGCGGCGCCGAUGCGGGUGGUGAACCUAAAGUGAGUAAUUGUUUCUAUUAUUAUUGUAUCUCCUUUUGGGAUUCACGGCACAUAGUCCGGUCCUUUGAGAGGCUUGCGUGGGGAUAUGGAUCCAACACGUAGAGGCCCUUUGGAGAAUUUUGAUGUUGUGUAGGUCUCCCGCCAAAACCCGCUCGCGGAUAUACCAAUAAAAUGAUAUGUCCAUGAGCAGGUCUCGGCGGGAAUGUGAACUAUUGCAGAAUAAUGGAUAGAAGUACUGGUCUAUAGAAUGAAAUUUGGAUGGACUGAGAAUGGGCUAUUGCAAAGAGUUCGGUCACCUACCAUAAUCAUGAUAACUGACUAUUCAGUGGCAGGUGGUGACUCGCCGCUCACUGGAUGGGCCCCUCAAAUCAGUCGCCGUGAUUGGCGACAAAGGGGCAACAUUGACGUGAGCGGCUAUGGGUGUAGACUCACCUCGUCUGCGAGGCGUGAAAUCGUGGUGAUCCAGUCAGACGCCCCCGGCGUUAUGACAUUUUACACUUCCACCCUUCGAGCAUAUAGCUCUCGCGACUCCACUCUGGCCGGCCGGUGAAGGCAAGCCAGAGGUAGGGGUCCUGUUACCUCUUGGUUUCCACUCCGACCUUGGGGAAGGGAGGCGGAGGUGAGGAACAGGGGCCUCCCCUGGGAGCACUCAGG